UUUGCUUUCAAGGGGUUGUUGAGAUCCCUUUUGGAUUCUUUGUUGGAGAUUAGGGUGGGAAAUAAGCAGGACUGCUGAGGAGUCUCGGCUGUCACUUUGGAAUAUGAAAACAGUCUGGCUUCAAGUAAACCCAGUUUGAGAUUCACGCUCCCUCCUCCCUGCGCUCCUCAGCCGUCUCCCAUAAUCACUGGUCCUGGAUGGGAAUUUGUGGGAGCUGGUUGGGCCCAAACUGCGAUUUCUCAUCCAAUGCAAUGGAAAAGCCAAAAUGAGAAGAGUAAAGUUUAAAUCAGACAAAUUGCACAAAGGUCCACGAAAAGCCACAAGGAGACCACGUGCCUUUCCGAAGCUUGCUGCUGAGAACCAGCCCUGGGCCUAGAGGAAGAGCUGGCCAAAGCAAGGUGGCGUGGAGGAGGGGCAGAAUGAGCCAUGGACCACUCACUUCUCUCAAAGAUGACCUGGAUCAGCCAGUCCAUCUCAUCUGGUCCGUGUAUCAAAGACCUGAGUCAGGGGGCCUCAAGGAAGCCUUUUAGGAGAUUAUCAUAAGGAGAUAAUCAGAGAACCGCACAAAGAUUUUCAAACUCCUGAUUUUAACUGGACACAGGGCCACUCAGCUGGAGACCUCAUUUCUCAGCCUCCCUGGCUUCUGAGUAUGACCAGGCAGCUGAGCUCUGGACAACGGGAUGUGACCAGGAGUGACAUGUGCCAUUUCCAGAUUGUUGCCUAAGGAUUCGUGAAGGAAAGUGCCCUUUGCCCACUCUCUUUCCCAAAGGUUGACUUGCAGUUGUGAUGAUGGGAGCUGGAAGAUACUCCUGGGACCCAGAGACUGUUGAGGAAGCAGGCGUCAUCUAUGUUGAUGAAACUCCUGCCAAGGGUGAACUAGGUGAACCAGGGAGGCUCAAGUGACCCAGGAGCUGCUGUAUAUUCAAGGGACACUCAUUGGAAGGUCACUGAUCAGGUGCUCAGGUGGGCAAAUUGGAAACGUCACACACUCAGUCAGUCGCAAUGUCAUGCCGCGCCAAAUCUUCAUACUCCUAGCCUGGCACCAUAUUGCUUAGAUUAGCUGUGGCAUUGUGGGCACUACAAGUGUCAUGAGAAGCUAAAGGAAGAAGGACUAUCACAGGAGUGUAGGUUGGUACACAUAAAGUGUGAAUCAACUCGGGCUAUUGAUUUUGGGUCGUUUCUCCUUCGGGUGAUGUCUACUGAUUCUAGGUUCUAUUUCCCUUCUUUUAUGGGUUGAAUUGUGA
rnacentral:lncRNA from 1 species